AUGCCCCUCCAUUUCGACAGCACAUGUACUAAAGUUGGAGUGAUACCGAGAAGAUUAGCAUGACUCCUACGCAAGGAUGACAUGCAGAUUGGUGAAGACUUUCGUAUUUGA